rnacentral:lncRNA from 1 species
UCUAAUCGUAGUACCGCUCAUAGCCUGCAGCGUGGGAACGCUCCACAUCGCUUCACAUUAGACCCGUACCCGUACAAAAACGAAAUAAAAAAAUCAAACACGCCUCUUCCGUUCUCAACUUUCUCCGCCUCUCCUCCACGUUUUAGUGGCUUCACUUGGUUUUUGCUUCACUAGCUGCAGCGUAUAGAACUUUUUUUUAGCACC